UCUACGGGAGGCAGCAGUGGGAUCUUGCACAAUGGGGGAAAUCCUGAUGCAGCGACGCCGCGUGGAGGAUGAAGGGUCUAGGCCUGUAAACUCCUUUUGACAGGAAAGACUUAGGACGGUACCUGUCGAAUAAGGACCGGGCUAACUACGUGCCAGCAGCCGCGGUAAGACGUAGGGUCCAAGCGUUGUCCGGGAUUUACUGGGCGUAAAGAGCGCGUAGGCGGUCUGUUAAGUGUAGAGUGAAAUCUCCAGGGCUCAACCCGGAAACUGCUCUGCAUACUGGCAGACUUGAGGGAUGCAGAGGUGUAUGGAAUUCCUGGUGUAGCGGUGAAAUGCGUUGAUAUCAGGAGGAACACCCAUGGCGAAGGCAGUUCACUGGGCAUCAUCUGACGCUUAGGCGCGAAAGCGUGGGUAGCAAACAGGAUUAGAUACCCUGGUAGUCCACGCCCUAAACGAUGGAUACUAGGCGUAAGAGGUAUCGACCCCUCUUGUGCCGCAGCUAACGCACUAAGUAUCCCGCCUGGGGAGUACGGCCGCAAGGUUGAAACUCAAAUGAAUUGACGGGGACCCGCACAAGCGGUGGAGCAUGUGGAUUAAUUCGAUACUAACCGAAGAACCUUACCCAGACUUGACAUCGAUCGCAAGCUCUAGAAAUAGGGCCCUCCCCCACAAGGGGACGUGAAGACACUUGUUGCAUGGCUGUCGUCAGCUCGUGCCGUGAGGUGUACGGUUAAGUCCGCCAACGAGCGCAACCCUCGUCCUGUGUUACCAGCAUGAAAGAUGGGAACUCACAGGAGACCGCCGGUGUAAGCCGGAGGAAGGUGGGGAUGACGUCAAGUCAGCAUGGCAGUUACGUCUGGGGCUUCACACAUGCUACAAUGGGCGAAACAAAGGGUCGCAAUACCGCGAGGUGGAGCUAAUCCCAAAAAUACGCCCCCAGUUCAGAUUGCAGUCUGCAACUCGACUGCAUGAAGGCGGAAUCGCUAGUAAACGCAGGUCAGCUAUACCGCGGUGAAUACGUUCCCGGG
rnacentral:rRNA from 1 species